rnacentral:rRNA from 1 species
UACGAAGGGUGCAAGCGUUACUCGGAAUUACUGGGCGUAAAGGGUGCGUAGGUGGUUUGUUAAGUCUGCUGUGAAAUCCCCGGGCUCAACCUGGGAAUGGCAGUGGAUACUGGCAAGCUAGAGUCCGGAAGAGGAGAGUGGAAUUCCCGGUGUAGCGGUGAAAUGCGCAGAUAUCGGGAAGAACACCCGUGGCGAAGGCGGCUCUCUGGGACGGUACUGACGCUGAGACGCGAAAGCGUGGGGAGCGAACAGG